rnacentral:tRNA from 1 species
GGCGUUGUGUCAGAUGAAUUGAGCCAUCUUGAUGUGGUGGAGGAUGGGAUUUUUUUCUCCGACGCUU